rnacentral:lncRNA from 1 species
GAUGGGAUCAAGGGUUCCUUUUAUUCAAAGAAGGAGUUCAACUACAAAAGUGUAUUUUCUGAAUUAGGUAAAUUGCUGAAACUUCUCUCAUGUUUGAAGAAACUGGUAUUUGUUAUCAAUGAGGAAAAUGAGAACAGGUCAUGAUGUUCAAUAUCUCCCUGUCACUGAAAAACAAGCUUCUGGAACUUGGACUAAGAGAUUUUUGUCAUGAAACAAAAAUUACUACUUUGGCUUGCUGGAAAUAAUUCUGGAUCAAGACAAGGAUUUAUGCAGAAUAAAAGCCACAAAAGAAAGGAAGAACCUGCUUGUAUCUUCUCCUCACACACCUGCUAAGAAAGCAAAUCCUGCUUUAGUCAUUGAUGCCACUUUGGGCAUUCUGCUGUAGUUGCACAGGAGUGUCUAGUGGAGCCUUCCACUUAAAUGACUGUUCUACUUUUCCUUUGGAACCAAAGAACCACAGAAAUUAAUGGGAACACACAUUGGAAGCAAGAGGUAUUCCAGACCUACUAACAAAAGCAGCAUAAUGAAAACUGAAGACCUUGAAUAACAAUAAAAUAACCGAGUUGGUAAAAACCCA